rnacentral:rRNA from 1 species
AGAGACAGCAGCAGCCGCGGUAAUACGAAGGGUGCAAGCGUUAAUCGGAAUUACUGGGCGUAAAGCGUGCGUAGGCGGUUUGUUAAGUCUGCUGUGAAAUCCCCGGGCUCAACCUGGGAAUGGCAGUGGAUACUGGCAAGCUAGAGUGUGUCAGAGGAUGGUGGAAUUCCCGGUGUAGCGGUGAAAUGCGUAGAGAUCGGGAGGAACAUCAGUGGCGAAGGCGGCCAUCUGGGACAACACUGACGCUGAGGCACGAAAGCGUGGGGAGCAAACAGGAUUAGAUACCCGCGUAGUCCCUGUCUCUUAUAC